UACGUAGGGUGCGAGCGUUGCCCGGAUUUAUUGGGCGUAAAGGGCGCGCAGGCGGCCACGCACGUCCGUUGUGAAAUCGCCCGGCUCAACUGGGCGGGUCAGCGGAUACGGCGUGGCUGGAGCAAGCUAGGGGCAAUGGAAUUCCCGGUGUAGUGGUGGAAUGCGUAGAUAUCGGGAGGAACACCAGUGGCGAAGGCGGUUGCCUGGAGCUUGCUGACGCUGAGGCUGCGAAAGCGUGGGAGCGAGUCCGG
rnacentral:rRNA from 1 species